GCCAGAACGCUGGAGGUAAACUCUGGCUGGGGGUAAACUCUUCAUUCUCUGGAAUUCAACCUGACCCCUUGGCUUUCUGAAUUUCUGGCCACCUUCACUGCUCGACAUCUGGCCUGAUGGCCAGGUUGCUAGGCAACACAGGAAGAGCACUGUGAAUGUGCGUUAAGCGUUAACUCCCAUCAUUUGACUUUUUAGCGUGGAGCAAGAAGGAAGGAGACAGGAAAACGGCUGUCCCAGAAGGAACAUUUUCUUUCCUCUCCUGCAGGACAAAGGACAGGUCUAUAAAUCUGAGGUCUGUCCCGGCGGCUGUCAAUAGCCCUGUGAUCUGUAGAAUCAGCUGACAGGCAUCUGCGGGGACAGAUCCCCACCAGCACAGCUGACGGAUUAGACGUUAGUCAUGCAUUUUCGGAAAGGACUCAUCCAAACAGAAGGGCAAAGUGACUUCAAGGAACAUGGACCGGGCAGUGGACGGGGAGGUGACAGAGGCAGAGGAAGCUUUGUGUCAUGGAGAAAGAAGAAACAGGAAACCUUGGCCUGGCCCGUUAGGACCGGUUAUGCCUCAGAGCAAUGGCCUUGCUCCCAAAAGGAGACCGUCCACACCCAUAAUGCGACACGCGUACCUCAGCCAGGAGCUUAGCUCGAACACGCCACUUCAGACAGCGUGGUGUUACACAAAGUAAUAACUAAUUAAACCUAGUAACCAAACCUUCAUUAUGCGUUUUAAAAAAACUAAGUGCUUAAAAAUUCCAAAUGUCUAAAGUGUAAACUAAAACACGACCAUUGUAUCAAUAAAGUCACAGG
rnacentral:lncRNA from 1 species